GACGAACGCUGGCGGCGUGCCUAAUACAUGCAAGUCGAGCGCAGGAAAUCAUCCGAACCCUUCGGGGGGACGUUGAUGGAAUGAGCGGCGGACGGGUAAGUAACACGUAAAGAACCUGCCCUCAGGUCUGGGAUAACCACGAGAAAUCGGGGCUAAUACCGGAUGGGUCAUCGGACCGCAUGGUCCGAGGAUGAAAGGCGCUUCGGCGUCGCCUGGGGAUGGCUUUGCGGUGCACUAGCUAGUUGGUGGGGUAAUGGCCCACCAAGGCGACGAUGCAUAGCCGACCUGAGAGGGUGAUCGGCCACACUGGGACUGAGACACGGCCCAGACUCCUACGGGAGGCAGCAGUAGGGAAUCUUCCACAAUGGACGAAAGUCUGAUGGAGCAACGCCGCGUGAACGAUGAAGGCCUUCGGGUCGUAAAGUUCUGUUGUAAGGGAAGAACAAGUGCCGCAGGCAAUGGCGGCACCUUGACGGUACCUUGCGAGAAAGCCACGGCUAACUACGUGCCAGCCGCCGCAGUAAUAC
rnacentral:rRNA from 1 species